UGGGGAAUAUUGCGCAAUGGGGGAAACCCUGACGCAGCAACGCCGCGUGGAGGAUGAAGGUUUUCGGAUUGUAAACUCCUUUGAUCGGGGACGAAAAAAUGACGGUACCCGAAAAACAAGCCACGGCUAACUACGUGCCAGCAGCCGCGGUAAUACGUAGGUGGCGAGCGUUGUCCGGAAUUACUGGGUGUAAAGGGCGUGUAGGCGGGAUUUUAAGUCAGAUGUGAAAUUCUGGGGCUCAACCUCAGAGCUGCAUCUGAAACUGAAGUUCUUGAGUGCUGGAGAGGAUAGUGGAAUUCCUAGUGUAGCGGUGAAAUGCGUAGAUAUUAGGAGGAACACCAGUGGCGAAGGCGGCUAUCUGGACAGUAACUGACGCUGAGGCGCGAAAGCGUGGGGAGCAAACAGG
rnacentral:rRNA from 1 species